GCGCUCGUAGCUCAGUCGGAUAGAGCGUCGGUUUCCUAAACCGAAGGUCACAGGUUCGAAUCCUGUCGGGCGUA
rnacentral:tRNA from 1 species